AACGCACCUUGCGCCCUCUGGUAUUCCGGAGGGCAUGCCUGUCUGAGUGUCAUUAGACCUUCACCCUGCCGGGUUUCCGGUGGACCGUGGACCUGGGCGCUGCCACCUCACCGUGGCUCGCCUCAAAUAUAUUUGAUUGAGAUGUGAUAAGUACCGUCUCAAGUAAAACACUCUUUGACUUUGACCUCAGAUCAGGUAGGACUACCCGCUGAACUUAA
rnacentral:misc_RNA from 1 species